GGAAUUGCAGGAAGGAGGCAUUCAGAUCAUGCCACAGCUAUUCUGUCACUGAUGCAGCGAUAGGGAAGAGGAUAUUGAACUUCUCCGAGCUGCCCUACUGCUCGAGCGGCAAGACAGACCUCUGAUCUUCUCAACCAUGAGCCUUGGGGCACCUUUCAUAGUUUUUGUGCUACUUGGAACGGGCUGUCAACAAUGACACCCAACUGCAUUUGGUUUGCCGAUCUUGGCUGCUAAGUCUGGAUCAUGGACUUGAGUUGCACCAUGUCGCUGGUCGCCAUUGGUGAAUACGUUAGAAUUUGCUGUUGCCAUGGGUGCUAUGACCAAGGGAAACUGUGGUUUGCUGUUCCCUGACGAGUAUGGAUGCACCCAAUAAAAUCAGAAAACAAAAUGCCUCGGAGUGUUCAGGAUAACUCUCCAUCUCCAAUCUACAAAGUG
rnacentral:lncRNA from 1 species